rnacentral:lncRNA from 1 species
AUGUUUUUUGAGGUGAUAAAAGAAGGACCAACCUUCUCCUUCUUUAACCAGGCUGAGAAUGCCACAGACUUCUGUGUGGGUGCACUGAAGAACCAUGCCAUGCCUUCAGUGAACUUACAUCUGGACAAACUUCUUUGUUCCAUUUGAUGAAAUCAUUCAUUUCAUCCUGGGUAAAGUACUGUUGGGAUAUUCUUGCUUUAAAGGAAGACAGAAUAUACCCGGUUUCCUUGAGGUAUGGUAAAAUGUUAAUUUUGCAUUGAAAUCUUCAUCAAACAGGAGAUUUGGUUGUUUGCUUUAUUGGAUUUCUUUUUUAGUUAGAAAACUAUGGUUUUGUUAAGAGAUAUAGAAGUGGAUAUUUGCAAAAUUCUUACCUAAUUCACAAAGUAAAAAUAAUGACAAUUUGCAUGCCAUGUAACCGAAAAAUGUGUAUAUAAUUACUUCUUUUAAAAGCUGACAUGGUAAUUCCUGAUUAGUAUGGAAUCUUGUGGAAUUAGUUUUGGUUAUUAAUCAAGUUAAGUUUUGCUCUCUCAAUCAUGAUCUUGAACUAAGCUUGGAACUGUCUGACUGACCAGCAUAUGCUGGCUAAAAUCCUUCCUCAGGAGCAGAAAGGUUAAGAGGACAGAUGAAGCAAAGGCAAAUGGUAUCUUCUUACUACUCCUUGGAGAUCUCACUACUAAAGAUCUCCCACACCUACUAUGUAAUGAAAUAUCUGCUAAUGUCCAUAUAGCCUCUGUGGCAUUUAGCACUCUUGAUUUUAUGUUGUCUGGUUUUGAAACCUUAUAAAGUGCAAUGUUCUGUAACCUUUCAAAAACAUUCAUAGGUGUGAUGUCAAUGUUUCCCAAGUACUCAGCUGUCGUUAUUGUAAGCCAGACUUUUGUUUACAAAAGCCCAGGCUUGCAAUUCACUGCCUUGCGGGGGUGAAAAAAAAAGGGAGAAAGAAGUAAUAUUUUGCUUCUUAACACUUUCUCUAUUUUCUCUUUAAAGUUCCAUUCAGCUUUGAAAAGUGAAAUGACCUUUUUAAUGUACAUUUAUUUAAAAUUCUUUGAUGCAUUCCAAACCUUUGCUGUUAUUUAUCUUCACAUUUUAACCUGUGCUAUCUUUUUUUGUUUUUUCCAUUGGCCAUCGUAGUUACACACAAAAAAAAUCC